CUGAAGCUGAAGGCUAUGUGCAACUCUUUUGUCGUGUUUGCACAUAGAGCCAGUUGAUGAGCAAAAUGCCUUUCUUCAGUAAAAUUAUAGCAUUUGUGAAGUACUUGAAGUGAUCUAAAGAGUUGUGAGCAGCAUAAAAAAUUAAAAACAUCACUGAACUUGCUGGCAAUUACUUCUAGUUAUACCAUAUGUGGAAACUGUGGAAUUAGAACAAACAUUAUCUAAAAGACUCCAUCAAGUUGAGGACUGUGAUGGCUACUUCGAGGAGGCUGAGAUUUGUCUGUGUGCCCAACUGGACCAAUGAGGAGAUGACCCAGGUGUUGACUGUGCACACUGAAUUAGAGCAGAAGAUGAGAGCCAGACCUAGGAACUUCACCAUGACAGACGUAUGGAACUGGAAUCACAAGGAAUACCAAAGGAAGACAGGGUCUACCACACUGGAGUGCAAGAUCACCACCACUAUGAUGACCUGCAUCAGAGAAAUGUGGAGGAGCUUUAAACAAGGGUUGCUGAGGUGGUGAGGACCAUGCCCAUAACAGAGCCUUGUGGAUUGAACAUAUGCACAGGCUGCAGGAUCAAUGAAGGGGGAGAGAUGAACAUUAUUAUCUUCAGCCUUAUUUAUGCCCUGUAGGACCAUCGUUAUGUAUCCAUCUCCUGUAUGUGAAUGCUAUUCAGAUGUUAUCCAUGCAAUGUAAAUUUCAAGAUUCCCAUCAUGCAUCCACAAGGCAUAUAUUGUAAUUGUUAACGUAUUGUGUAUACCUUUUGCUGAGCAAUUAUUUUUCUGAAAACUGCAUGUAUACAAGUCCUUCCAAUAUUAAUGGGUUAUUUUCUGGUUAUAGGCUGUUCACUGACAGCCAAAAUGAUAGUCAGCUUUGUUAUACUUGCACAGAGUGUUUGUUUUGAAAAUCUUAUAUAUUAGUUGUGUGUGAUCGCUAUACUGAUGGUGACUGCUGACAAUAGCAUACAGUAAGUAACUUGUAUUUAUGAUAGUGGUUCCCAGCUUAAUUCAUGCAUUGAAUGUGUAUCUGCAGUGUCACAGUAUCAUUGAUAUUGGCAGGGGUUUAUCGCUUGAGUUCCACUCUAACACCAAUAUGUAGAUGCACAAGUCUGUUACAACACUAUCUAACACAGUUUCCUGUUACUGGUUCACAUGGCACUCAUCAUUGUAAUUUCUUAAUGGGCUUAUAUUACUCCUUAUUCCAUAUUUAAUUAUGUAAUUAUAUUUCUUAAAUGCAGUACUGCAGUAGUGUAAAUGGACUAAUUGCAGGCACAGGCAGGCUGAAUAUAUGACAAACAUGGAUAUCUCCUUUUCAGUAUUGCUUCUACAUGUGUCAGUGUGAUAUUGCUUGGUUCAUUGCAUUGACAACAAAAUGUUUAUACAUCUGUUAUAUACAUACAACAUGGCCUAUGUAAGAUAAUGCUGCCAUAUGGUGCAGUAUACCGUACAGAUGUGACCCAUACAUUUGAUUCAGUUCUGGAUGUAAGUAUGUUGUGAUGUUAUCUGUUACCCAUGAUGCACUGCACAUUUCAAAGGUUCAUAAGUUCAUAGGAGAUUAAUAGGCUUACAGCUUACAAAGCUUUACAAACCUUGCCAAUAUAACUUACUUUUACCCAAUAUAUGGCCCUUAGGGACAAGACGAUGGCAUAGGUUUAUGCUACUGCCUUGAGUAUUUUACAGAUUGCCCCUGUCUAUAAGGGGACAUAGGCACUACACCAGGUGUGAAUUUACACUUUCCCAUCUGUUGUCCAAACUGCAUUUGAAGAGAGCCAGGGAAGGGUUCUGCUUAACGUGAAUAGAAAGACUUUUCCAAAGAAGGGGCAAUCUCUGAGACACAUAUCUGUCUCUCCAGUAUGUUUUGCCUGAGUCACUGUCUAAGCUUAGAUCCCUAGAUUUAGUGACCCUCAUGCUGCUUGUCUUGCAGAUGUGUAGCAGCUGCAUCACAGCUGGAUUUGUGCGUGCCUUGCAGGUCAUGCAUGGAUCAUCCCUUAAUAGUUGUUAGGCGACAGAGUAAAGGGAUAGGGAAUUUAGUCCAUUCACAGUCUAUCCACAUAGGGCAUGUUGUUAACACCCUGUAUUUUCUUUUUGAGGAACUUCUGAGGUCACUACAGCUGUUGUAUGUGCCUAGUCAAGUACAUGCCAAAUGACACGUUGUACUCAAUUAUUGGUCUA